rnacentral:rRNA from 1 species
UACGGAGGGUGCUAGCGUUGUUCGGAAUCACUGGGCGUAAAGGGCGUGUAGGCGGUCUGUUAAGUCUGAUGUGAAAUCCCCUCGCUCAACGAGGGAACUGCGUCGGAUACUGGCAGACUCGAGUACCGGAGAGGAAGGUGGAAUUCCCGGUGUAGCGGUGAAAUGCGUAGAUAUCUGGAGGAAUACCGGUGGCGAAGGCGGCAUCCUGGACCGGCAUUGACGCUGAGGAGCGAAAGCCAGGGGAGCAAACGGG